rnacentral:tRNA from 1 species
GCCCUCGUAGCUCAGUUGGAUAGAGCGUUUCUUUUCUAAAGAAGUGGUCGGAGGUUCGAAUCCUUCCGAGGGUA